rnacentral:rRNA from 1 species
GCGUGAGUGAAGAAGGCCCUAGGGUUGUAAAGCUCUUUCAGUCGUGAAGAUGAUGACGGUAGCGACAGAAGAAGCCCCGGCUAACUCCGUGCCAGCAGCCGCGGUAAUACGGAGGGGGCUAGCGUUGUUCGGAUUUACUGGGCGUAAAGCGCACGUAGGCGGGUCGGUCAGUCAGAGGUGAAAGGCCCGGGCUCAACCCGGGAACUGCCUUUGAUACUGCCGAUCUUGAAUCCGGGAGAGGUGAGCGGAAUUCCAAGUGUAGAGGUGAAAUUCGU